UUGACCUCAAAUCGGGUGGGACUACCCGCUGAACUUAAGCAUAUCAAUAAGCGGAGGAAAAGAAACUAACAAGGAUUCCCCUAGUAACGGCGAGUGAAGAGGGAAAAGCUCAAAUUUUGAAUCUGGUGUCUUUGACCCCCGAGUUGUAAUCUAGAGAAGUGUUUUCCGUGUCGGACCGUGCACAAGUUCCCUGGAACGGGGCGUCAUAGAGGGUGAGAAUCCCGUAUAUGGCACGGACUGCCGAUGCUCUGUGAUACACUCUCAACGAGUCGAGUUGUUUGGGAAUGCAGCUCAAAAUGGGUGGUAAAUUCCAUCUAAAGCUAAAUAUUGGCGAGAGACCGAUAGCGAACAAGUACCGUGAGGGAAAGAUGAAAAGCACUUUGGAAAGAGAGUGAAACAGUACGUGAAAUUGUUGAAAGGGAAGCGUUUGAAGUCAGUCAUGUCUGGCGGGAUUCAGCUUGGCUUCUGCCGAGUGUACUUUCCGUCCGACGGGUCAGCAUCAAUUUCGACCGAGGGAAAAAGACGUGCGGAAUGUGGCUGUCUUCGGGCAGUGUUAUAGACCCUGCGUUGUAUGCCUCGGUUGGGAUUGAGGAACGCAGCGCGCCUAUAGGCCAGGGGCUACCCGCCUCUUGACACGCGC
rnacentral:rRNA from 1 species